rnacentral:tRNA from 1 species
GGGGCUGUAGCUCACCUGGUAGAGCACUUGGUUCGCAAUCAAGUGGUAGCCGGUUCAAGUCCGGUCAGCUCCA